GUAGGUGAACCUGCGGAAGGAUCAUUACCAAAUCCAAAUUCAAACCCCAUGUGAACUAUUGUAUAGUCUGUCUUUGGGAGAGAAAGAAAAGAAAAAAUUUGAAAUUAAACCUUCAUUCUAUUUCUUGGAUUUUUCUCCCAAUAGAGUCCGGCGCAACUUUAUUGUUGUGUCCAGAUUCGAAACCCCUUUUAAACCACUUGAUUUUUCUGUUGGAAUUAACUUUUAUUAAUUUUAAAUAAAAGACAACUUUUAACGGCGGAUCUCUUGGCUCGU
rnacentral:misc_RNA from 1 species